GCUGCAGUCCCGCACAGUGAAGCGCAUCUCAGUGUAGAUGCGGUGGGCUCCGCGCCGGUUGAUGAAGGUGGUGAGGAGCCAGUUGUUCUGGUUUGGCUCGAAGACGUUGCACACCUGGUAGGUACGGAUGGUGUUCAGGUUCUCGUCGUAGCCACUCACUUCUUCCCACCCUGACGGAGGGUUGGCAGUCCAGCCCAGCUCAGCUGUCGCUGUCCGUGUGUCCAUCAGGGUUUCUUCCACGGCGGCCGCGGCGGCGGCCAGGCAGAGCAGCACCACCAGAUCCGCAGCCAUCGCCGCCCCGGGCCGGCGGCCCCCGCCGCGCAGCCUCGGCCUCCCCGGGCACCGCGCGCCGCUCCGCAGGCGUCAGCCGCCGCCGGCGGGAGGGCAUGGGCGGCGGGAGGCAGCCGGGCCGGGCCGGGCCGCGCCGAGCGGAGCCGCGGGACCGGGCCGCCCGCCCGGGUCACAUCGCCGCCGC
rnacentral:lncRNA from 1 species